GAGCUGCAGAGUGACUGACAAAAGUAGAAGGCCACCCAGAAGUGCAAGAAAACACAACAGCUAAGUGAAAAUGAAUGUUAUUCCAGCUCAAAGUUAGUGCUUUCCAGUCCACCAUCAUCGCUUUGGAGGAGAUGGCAAGGAGUGCUGUUUGAGUACACACAGCCAAGAACUGAAAAGCCCCACAUGGCUCACAGCUCAGGACUAUGCAAAUAGAGGUCUUCCACCUCCUGUUCCUGAAUGCAGGCAGUGGCAUAGAUCAAAGAGCUACUACAUCUAGCUGCAUUGCAAAACAGUCCUAAGUGUGGUACCCAACCUCCUGCAGUGAAGAAGGAAUGGUGAAAUGACACGGACCAUGUAUCCUUGGAAAACAAUGUUCUUUUUUAAAGCUUUUCCACAUCCAUUUUUCCAAUCUUGUCAGGCAUAUAAGACAACCCUUCAUCAUGACCUGUCAAUGUCAGCACCUCCACUCUCUCCCAGGGGUGAGCAGCUUCCUGAAAAUCCUAUUACUGCCUCACAACCCAAAUCCCCUUUGCUUCUUGGAUUUCACUCCUUUGUCUGUUUUCUCACUUUUUUCCUUCAUUUUAUAGCCCGUCAAACAAGAUUUCUGACAAAUUCACAACGAUUGAACGCUGUUUUGCAUCUGCACUGCAGUCACCAACAACUUCCGUUGUACACACUACACUCUUCACUGUUUCCUGCCAGAAUCACAAAAGGUAACUUACAUUAAGUAUGUUAUACCUACAAUUUUGUUUCCUUAAGCUGAAAUGCUGCAAUAAUUAUUUACGAAACACUGUGGUUGAUAUUUUUUUUA
rnacentral:lncRNA from 1 species